ACGGAGUCUUCUUAUGAAAGAAACACGUCUCCCAAGGCUUUGGCUGCCAUAGGUAGUGAUUCCCGUGGUGACCUGGGCAAAGUCGUCUGAAAAUAUCUGGGAGAGGAUCGCCCCUCUAGCUGCCGUCAGAGCAGGUGUGACUCAUGGAAGAGGUUAAAAUAUCCACUUUAGUGGGAGUUUGGAAGAAACAGAUCCAGAUCGUCCUGGAUGACUUUGAAGGGUUCAAGACGUCAGUGGAGGAAGCAGCUGCAGAUGUGGAGCAAAUAGCAAGAGAACCAGAAAUAGAAGCCUGCAAACGUGACUGAACUGCUGCCAUCUCGUGAUAAAGCCUUAGCAGAUGAGGAGCUGCCUUUUAUGAAUGAGCAAAGGAAGUGGUUUCUUGAGAUGGAAUCAGCUCUGGUGAAGAUGCUGUGAAGAUGGUUGAAAUGACAACAACGGACUUAGACUACUCCAUAAACUGAGCUAAGCAGCGUGGGGCUUGAGAGGCUGAGUCCGACUUUGAAAGAAGUUCUAAUGUGGGGAAAACGCAAUCAGCAUUGCAUGCUACAGAGAAAUCGUGCAUGACAGGAAGAGUUAAUCGAUUUGGUAGCCUUCGUCGUGGUCUUAUUUUAAGAAAUUGCCACAGCCAGCCCAGCCUUCAGCAGCCCCCACCCUGAUCCAUCAGCAGCAUCAAUGUGCAGGCAGGACCCUCCACCAGCAAAAAGACUGUGACUCACUAAAGCCUCAGAUGAUUGUUCAACCUCUUUAGCAAGAAAAUAUUUUUUAAAAUUAAGGGUGUCAGUCCCUGCUGCAGGUGCCCGAGGCAGGUCAAGAUGGAAAGGCCAGCUCAGAUUCACCACCACCGAAGUGCCCGAAGCGACGAGAAAGUAUCGCCCACCUUGUAAAUUCGGCUUCACUCCACUUUGAUUUUGCAAAAGAUCUGCAUUAGUACCUGUUUUCACGAACCAAAAGAAAUCCGGGAGGACUUUCACUUUUACAGGAGAAGGGGAGAAGCAGAGCUGGCGUUCAGGGCUGGCUCUGCGGUUAGUCACUAUACCUAUACCGUCAGCGCCACCCCAGGCAGCCCAGUGGCCCGGGCAGUCUCCUUUCCCGGGGGCCAGCCUUGGUGUCAAGCCCCAGAGCUCCAAGCAGCGUCCGUGAGCAUCCGGUUCUCUCUUCAUCGGCGUGAUACGUCCAGGCAGUACGGCACGGCCUCAGACUGGGGAGUAAUUCUAACUCCCGUGACUUCGUCGUGCCUCGAAGUAGAAGUCUAGACAUCUGGAUUUGGACAUCUGGAUUCAUCCCUUGCUGUAUCCUCUAGGUUCUUUAAGGACACCGUCAAAGAUGGUGACCGACGCAGACCCUUGUAAAACGUCACAAGACUGGCAUACUUGUAGGUGAUAAGGACGGAGAAAUAAAACAUAGGAUCUCAGCCCGGCCUUACAGGUGCUGCCCAAAGUCACAACAUCUGGAGCGCAGCCUGGAGCUGAGACGCGGGGGCUCUGCCGUGAGCCUGCUCGGCCCGGCCCCGAGGCUGGGCGCUCUCAUCCGGACCUGCUUUGGUGCAGGAGAGCAGGAUGGCAGCGGCCGGGAGGUUUCGCAUCCAGACUGAGCCAGGGUGAAGGCCUCCGAGCAGCGGCAGUUUCUCCUUCCAGGGGGACCUUCAGCCCCUCCGUCCGCUUUCGGCAGGUGGUGUGUGCAUGGGGAGCACACGUCCCGAGGGCUUGGCUCCGGCUCUGCCAUUGACCGUCCCGUGACCCUGGGCUCUAACUUCUUGCUGAGCCUCCGUUUUCUCUCGGGCAAAAUGCAGGUGCUAAUCAUCCCCACUUCAUGGAUUGCUGGGAUCACAUCUCUGUUGUGGAAAACUUUAGGGUAAACUAAAGUGAGCUAGAGGCAGAACAUCGGGUCUGGGCCGUGUGUCUGCCGAUUGGCUAGUUUAACCUUGAGAAAAACCUCUGCCACUGCCUGCCCGUCUGUUUCCGGUCUCCAAGCCCAGAUCUUUCUCUUCGCAGGCCCCAGACACGCCCCUGGUACAUGGAGAUAUCUCAUACUGGCAAUAAUAUAACAUUUCUUUUAUUUGAUGAUGUUAUUGAAUAAUUUUUUAUUUUUAAUCUAAGCAAACACUUAAGUUUAAAAAAACUAGUAACUAUGAAUCUUAACAUAGAAAUGUUAGCCCCUGCCUGUCUUCCACCCAGUGCCGAUCCACCACUUCCACUGCUUUUAACUGGUUUAUCUGGAAAUAGCUCUACAUGUCUAAACAGCAUCCUUACUCUACAAGUCUUGAUGAUUUUUAAGUUUUAAUUGUUACCUGUUGACUUCCUAGCAUGGGAAGAAAGGAUUUAACCCUCCCCUCCCGUCAGUCACGGACACAGACACACCCCUCCGCACCCCCCACCCUCCUCUUCCAUCCGUUCUGUAUGCGGAUCGUACGUUUUGGUGGGAUAUUCGGAUGUCACACUGGGUUCACAGUUAAGUCAGAUAACAUGUGUGAUGACACGCAGCUGCACGUCUUUGCGUACACAAAUUGUUUCCCUGAAGGUAAUAAUUGCAUUGCUUUCCUGUUUGCUGAGUGUUCUCCUGGUAUCACUCGUUCGGCCCAGAAUCUUUAUAAAAGUGUCGCAUGUCCUUUCACUGCACCCGCACACGUGUGCCAUCUCUCAGCCCCUGGAGCCCAUGUCUCUGGGGGUCCCACCUCCUUGGUUCCGCGCUGGGCUGGCCGCUCUCGAGACCCACCGCGUCACCGCAUCCCCGGGCUCCCGGGCCUGGGCUCCGUUCCCGUCCUCCUGGGGAACGCGGCCCCCCCCUCGCUCUGCUGUGGCUUCUCUGCCUCCUGGAUCCCGUGGCUUCUUCCUGCUUGUUUUCCUCCUUCGCUUUGUAGAAGCACGUUGUCCAGUAAUGUCUCCAAAAGAGGAAGGAUGGCUUUUGUUUCUGGAGGGUGCACACCUGAAACGGUCUUUAUUCCACGCUUCCAUGUGGUUGAUUAUUUGAUUGGACACAGAAUUACCAAUACAGCUCAGAAACAUUUUUUCUCCCGAUUUU
rnacentral:lncRNA from 1 species